rnacentral:lncRNA from 1 species
UUAUUGUUAUUGUUAUUGUUAUUGUUAUUGUUAUUUUGUUGUCGUUAUUGUUAUUAUUGUUAUUAUUGUUAUUGUUAUUAUCAUUAUUAUUGUUGUCAUUAUUACUAUUGUUAUUGUCAUUGUUAUUGGUAUUAUUGUUAUUAUUUGUAUUAUUAUUAUUAUUAUUAUUACUAUUGUUUUUGUUAUUGUCAUUGUUAUAGUUAUUGUUGUUAUUGUUAUUGGUAUUAUUGUUAUUGUUAUUAUAAUCAUUACUAUUGUUAUAAUUAUUAUUGUUAUUAUUGUUAUUGUUAUUAUUAUCAUCAUUAUUAUUAUCAUUAUUAUUGUUAUUACUAUAAUUGUUACUGUUAUUAUAAUUAUUAUUUUUCUUAUUUUUAUUGUUAUUGUUAUUGUUAUUUUUGUUGUUAUUUUUAUUGUUAUUUUCAUUGUUAUUUUUAUUGUUAUUUUCAUUGUUAUUUUCAUUGUUAUUUUCAUUGUUAUCAUCAAUUUCCCCUGUUCUUGUCCCCAGAGGUCUGCAAUAAAAGGCUCCGUAAGUGCCUGGAUUUUUCCUUCCCGGGCUGGAAUAAUCCGUAGCAAUGACAAAUCAACAAUUCCACCCCGCUCUGAACUGGGAAAUUCCCGUCUCCCCUUCUCUCCUCCCAGAGGAGCACCAGGCCGAGCUGGAGGCCCGGGACACUCGGAUCCGUGAAAAUGAAGCUGAGAUCAAGCACCUGAAGCAGCUGCUGGGUGAGUGCUAAUUAAUUUAGGUGCAGAGAAAUUUUAAUUAAAGGGGAAUUUGGGGGAAAAUAUCAGCAAAAUUCGGGAAAAAUGGAAAUGGGAAAAAUUGUAAAUAAUAGGGCAGUAAUGGGAAAUAAUUAAUAAUGUGGUGAUAAUAAUUAAUAACGUGGUGAUAAUGUGGCAAUAAUAAUUAAAAAUGUGGUGAUAACGUGGCAAUAAUUUCCAUUUCUGUGCAGAGGAGAAGGAAUUGGCAGCACGUAAGUUUUGGAAAAGGGGAAUUUUCUCCCCAAAAUGUGUCUGAUUUAAUUGGUAAUUAACCUUUUUAGGGUCCCAGACCCCAUUUUUGGGCCCCAAAAUCAUUUUUGAGGCACAGUUCCCCAUUUAUAAACACAAAAUUUAUCCAGAUUUGGAGUUUUCCCCCCUCACAAAUAUCCUGACUUAAAAAUUAAAGCUAGAUAAUUAAUAAAUAAAAUAAUAUUUUUUGAUUUUUAAACUGA